AUACUCUGUAGCUCAGUGGUUAGAGCGCAUCCAACCGGUGUACGGAAGGUCAUGGGUUCAAAUCCCAUCUGGGACU